rnacentral:rRNA from 1 species
GUUUGAUCCUGGCUCAGAAUCAACGCUGGCGGCGUGCCUAACACAUGCAAGUCGCACGAGAAAGGGACUUCGGUCCUGAGUACAGUGGCGCACGGGUGAGUAACACGUGAAUAAUCUACCUCCGAGUGGGGAAUAACUGAGAGAAAUCUUAGCUAAUACCGCAUAACACUUACGAGUCAAAGCAGCAAUGCGCUUGGAGAGGAGUUCGCGGCAGAUUAGUUAGUUGGCGGGGUAAUGGCCCACCAAGACGAUGAUCUGUAUCCGGCCUGAGAGGGCGCACGGACACACUGGAACUGAAACACGGUCCAGACUCCUACGGGAGGCAGCAGUGGGGAAUUUUGCGCAAUGGGGGAAACCCUGACGCAGCAACGCCGCGUGGAGGAUGAAAUCCCUUGGGAUGUAAACUCCUUUCGAUCGGGAAGAUAAUGACGGUACCGAGAGAAGAAGCCCCGGCUAACUUCGUGCCAGCAGCCGCGGUAAUACGAGGGGGGCAAGCGUUGUUCGGAAUUAUUGGGCGUAAAGAGUGCGUAGGCGGUUUGAUAAGUCACAUGUGAAAUCUUCGGGCUCAACCCGAAGUCUGCAUGCGAAACUGUCGGGCUUGAGUAUGGGAGAGGUGAGUGGAAUUUCCGGUGUAGCGGUGAAAUGCGUAGAUAUCGGAAGGAACACCUGUGGCGAAAGCGGCUCACUGGACCAUGACUGACGCUGAUGCACGAAAGCUAGGGGAGCAAACAGGAUUAGAUACCCUGGUAGUCCUAGCCCUAAACGAUGAUUGCUUGAUGUGGUGGGUACCCAAUCCCGCCGUGUCGAAGCUAACGCGAUAAGCAAUCCGCCUGGGGAGUACGGUCGCAAGGCU